rnacentral:lncRNA from 9 species
GAAGAUUCCAAGCAUUUUUCAGGGUGAGCUUAUUAAAAGGCUUCAGGUCCCACUCCAAGGAGGAAAAGUAAGUUGGGGACCCCUUGUCUCCAUGUUGCAGAAGAGUAAAGCAAGACCUAAAGAAGAGAUGUGAUUUACAAAGAACACCUGGAGAAUUGGUAGCACAGCCAGAACCAGAGCUCGAAUCUCCAGGUUCUUCCUCUAAGGAUCUAUCCACUGUAACAACUUGCCUCCUGGGAUGGCUUGGGUGGAAGAAAGCCCGGACCAUCGAUAUGGCUCCUUCUGGCUCUGUCUACAACAUUAACAUUCAAUGCUCCCUGUAGAUUGGCCACAAGUCAAAGUCCGCUGGUGCUGAGGUUUGCUUGGCUGUUUCAGUUGGAGUGGUGGAUUGGGUUGACUGUUCUGGAAUCUCUCUAAACCGUGAACAUAUCACCAGACGAAUGAACAAUGGUUUUAAAGAAGCAACCUGAUCUGUAGUCUUAGAGUGGCACAGCUGGGUUCACAGACAGUUAGGUCAUUUUCCUGACUGGGGGGGUGUAUGUUGUGCCUGCUUAGUGGACCCUGAAUUCCCUACAAGAGGCGGAGCCUAGCGUUGGCACCACUGCUAACUAGGAGAUUGAAAGCAAUGCUGCCCCAGCACACCUCACCGACAGCUGGGUGGUCACGGGCAAGGAUGGAGGAUCCCCACAUAACAGUCUUGACCAUGGCUGCAGGUGAUCUCAUCACAAAUUCUGGUUGACCGGUCCCCCGAUGUGAGCUGAGGGCCCUUACAUCUGCUACAGAGUUGAAAUAGCACACAUCCAUUCUUUGCACUGGGUAAAUAAGAUCUACCACUGGGUGGAGGAUUGUGAGCUGAUGGAGGAAAAGAUGCCGCAUUAGGAACCAGAACAAGGGAGUGCGCACCUCGCAGCACCACCAAUCAGCUGGUGCUCACCUCGCAGCACCACCAAUCAACUCGGCAGACAGAGUGGAUAGAGGGGGGUUCUCCUCUGCCCAGCCUCCCCCCAUGAAGCCUUGUGUCACCCACCACACCGCAUGCUUAGCCAAUCACUGAUGUCGACCCUCCGAUACAGUGGCCAGUACAUGUUACCAGUAGGGCCCUCUGGUAGGGUCCUUUCCUGGGGUGUAUACAGGCUGUGGGGAGACAGAAGUUCUUACUGAGGUUGCUGAAUGUACAUUAGACAUCUAGAGCUGUGACUGUCAUAAAAAAGCAUGAAAUGCUGCCAUUUGCAGCAACACGGUUAAGAACCUGACCUAGAGAUUAUCAUACUAGGUGGAGCAGGUCGGACAAAGACG